UAGGGAAUCUUCCGCAAUGGACGCAAGUCUGACGGAGCAACGCCGCGUGAGUGAAGAAGGAUUUCGGUUCGUAAAACUCUGUUGUUAGAGAAGAACAGCGCAUAGAGUAACUGUUAUGCGUGUGACGGUAUCUAACCAGAAAGCCACGGCUAACUACGUGCCAGCAGCCGCGGUAAUACGUAGGUGGCAAGCGUUGUCCGGAUUUAUUGGGCGUAAAGCGAGCGCAGGCGGUCAAUUAAGUCUGAUGUGAAAGCCCCCGGCUCAACCGGGGAGGGUCAUUGGAAACUGGUUGACUUGAGUGCAGAAGAGGAGAGUGGAAUUCCAUGUGUAACGGUGAAAUGCGUAGAUAUAUGGAGGAACACCAGUGGCGAAGGCGACUCUCUGGUCUGUAACUGACGCUGAGGUUCGAAAGCGUGGGGAGCGAACAGG
rnacentral:rRNA from 1 species